CAUUCCUGUUCUACUCGCACAUUUUCAUUCCAAUAAACAAAGAACUAUUCAUCUUUCCUCUCAGUGUCAAAGUCGUGCAUUCCUGUUCUAUUUUAAUCGCGUAUUGUAUUCUCUCACAUUUAUUUCUUCGUCCUCUCCGUUUUAUUUUUAUCCGCGGGAUUGGGUUUUCUUGUGAUGGGUGCAUGAGGAAACUGCAGGCCGAAGAAGCUAAGCUGAGGAGAAAAGGCAGUCCUUUUGGUCAUUUUGGAGCCAUGAAAGAGGUGGAGCAGCCGAUUUUUGUAGUAGGAUUUUUUAUUUGAGGAGCUUCGAGUGGUGGGUUUGCGUGAUGGACAUAGGAGGUCGACUUGUUGCAGGUUCCCACAACAAAAAUGAGUUCGUCCUCAUUAAUGCAGAUGAGAUUGGACAAAAAUGAGUUCUUUCACUUAUUCUCCAUUUUCUCUUCUUUUCUAUUUUACUUCAGAUGUUGAUUAUGGGGGUAGUUGUUUGCGCAUUUUUUCUUUUGCGCUCUAGGUUCGUCCAAUGGGAUAUAUAAUCUUUUUUUUUUUCUCUAUUGAAGCUUGAUUUGUUUCAUUUUCCCCUUCUGUCCCAGGAGGAGGAAAUGCCUGUCUCUGAAUCUUUCUUCCUGAUUCUGGUUUUGGAUUUGAAGUUAAUAGUCUUGGGUUUUGGUUUUCCCUUUUGUUAAGAGAAACAUUUUUUAGGCUCUAUCUUCAUGCUUGUUUGCACUUUAGUUUUGCUGGGUAGGGAUACGCAUCUCUGAAAUUUCUGCACCAAGCUCUGCAUUGUAUAUCUAAAGAUGUUAGCUUAGUAAAUGAGGCAAAAAAUUAGGGUUUCUUACUGUAGCCCUUGUUCUUGAACUUGUUCACAACUCCCAACUCCUUCCCCGCCUCUGCCCCGCCGGUAAGUAAGGAAGAAAAAGAAAUUUGUGAGUCCUAGUUUAGUUCCUACAGUUUUCUAGGUCAUCUAGAUACCGUAUUGCAUGCAGUUCUUCUCCUUCUUCAUUUAUAUUUUUUUGGGGGUGGGGGUGUGAUAUUUGGAAUCUGGACCGAGUCACGGGACUUUCAUUGUUUUCAUAUGAUUUUAUUAAUCUUAUAGAUAUUUUGAAACUAUAUAGUUAUAGCUCUGGUUCUGGGCAUUUACAAGUGAAGUCUAUGAGAGAAUUAAGUGGGCAAAUCUGCCAGAUUUGUGGAGAUUACAGAGGAUGGAGCCUUUUGUAGCCUGUAAUGAAUGUGCUUUCCCUAUGUGCCGGCCUUGCUACGAGUAUGAGAGAAGGGAGGUAAAUCAGGCUUGCCCUCAGUGCAAAACCAGAUACAAGCGCAUCAAAGGCAGUCCCAGGGUUGACGGAGAUGAAGAAGAGGAUGGCAUUGAUGAUUUGGAAAAUGAGUUCGAUUUUGGGAGUCGGUUAGGUUGAUUGCUCAUUUAUGAGAUAUAUUUUGAACUCCAUUCAACCUCUUUUGUAUCUCAUUGAUGCGUUCAAUUUGACAGGUCAGGGAGGUCAUCUGUAAAUGAUUCUUGGGCUAAUAGUGUAGUCUGGCAUCAAGGAAACCUUCUUUCAUCUGAUUUAUAGAAGGGUGCAUUGAAUGGAGUGACUGAUAUGAGAUAUGUAGUUUCCUUCACUGGUUGAUGAUAGCCAUGUGACCAUGUACUUAUGAGCUAUGGGAGCACCAAGCUUAUUUGACCACUUCACUUGCAACAGGAAACUGUUAACAUGGAGGGUAUUGAAGAUAUAUACUUUCGAUUUUGAUGAAGACUUUUGAACAUCAUAGAGCGAAAUAAUUUUUUUGUUGGUUUUUGGACUAUCUAUUAUGGAUCUAUGACCUGAAAGUGACAGUUGUAUAUAUAAACAUUUUAUGAUAAAUUUGUUUUAUAUGAAAAUGGUUUAUUUG